UACGUAGGGUGCGAGCGUUGUCCGGAAUUACUGGGCGUAAAGAGCUCGUAGGUGGUUUGUCGCGUUGUUCGUGAAAACUCACAACUCAAUUGUGGGCGUGCGGGCGAUACGGGCAGACUGGAGUACUGCAGGGGAGACUGGAAUUCCUGGUGUAGCGGUGAAAUGCGCAGAUAUCAGGAGGAACACCGGUGGCGAAGGCGGAUCUCUGGGCCUUACCUGACGCUCAGGCACGAAAGCUAGGGGAGCGAACAGG
rnacentral:rRNA from 1 species